rnacentral:rRNA from 1 species
UGGUGAUCAUAGCGACAGGGAUACACCCGGUUACAUUCCGAACCCGGCAGUUAAGCCUGUCUUCGCCUAAAAUACUUGGAUUCGU